UACGUAGGGUGCGAGCGUUGUCCGGAAUUAUUGGGCGUAAAGAGCUUGUAGGCGGUCUGUCGCGUCUGCUGUGAAAAUCCGGGGCUCAACCCCGGACUUGCAGUGGGUACGGGCAGACUAGAGUGUGGUAGGGGAGACUGGAAUUCCUGGUGUAGCGGUGAAAUGCGCAGAUAUCAGGAGGAACACCGAGUGGCGAAGGCAGGUCUCUGGGCCACUACUGACGC
rnacentral:rRNA from 1 species